rnacentral:lncRNA from 1 species
AAUUUUUGUAUUUUUAGUAGAGGCGGGGUUUCGCCAUGUUGGCCAGGCUGAUCUUGAACUCCUGAUCUCAGGUGAUCUGCUGGCCUUGGCCUCCCAAAGUGCUGAGAUUACAGGUGUGAGCCACUGCACCCAGCCCCAAACCAUAUAUUUGAUAAAGAAUUUGCAUCCAGAUAUAUACCUUAAAAUUCUUGAACCUCAAUAAGAGGAUGGUGAGAAAUAAUCCAGUUUUAAAAUGGGGCAAAAGAUGUAACUAGACGUGUCAUCAAAGAUGAUAUAGAUCUAUAUUGAUAUCAAUAUAGAUCAAAUAUCCAAUAAAAAAGAAGACAUAUAAGUAACUAAUAAGCACAUGAAAAGGAACUCAACAGCAUUAGUCAUUAGGGAAAUGCAAAUUAAAACUGCCAAUGAGACACCAUUAUAUACCCUUUGGAAUAUCUAUAAUAAGAACGACUAACAAUUUCAAAUGUUGGCAAGAAUGUAGAGAAUCCUCAUACACUGUUAGUGGGACUCUAACAUUGCACAGCCGCUUUUGGAAAAUAGUUUGGCAGUUUCUUAAAAAGUUAAACAUAAACUUACCACAUGACUCCGCAAUUAUACCCCUACAAAUCUACUCAAGAGAAAUACAAAUAAGGUCCAUACUAACACUUGUAGAUAGCAACAUUACCUCGUUUAUAGCAACAUUAUUCAUAAUAGCCAAGCCCUGGGAACAAUUCAAAUGUUCAUCAACUGGUGAGUGGAU